rnacentral:ncRNA from 1 species
GCUUAGAAAUUUAGUUAAUAAUUUUUGUUCAUGUAAAUUUUAGUGUGAAUAUGGGUUGAACUUAAAAAGUUAAUUUAUAUUUUUAUUUGCAGUGUUUUAUUUUAAAAAUUCAAGAAAUUGGGAUUUAGAGAAUUAUUAGAGUACUAACUUAAUUUGUGCCAGCAGUUGCGGUUACACAAAUAGUGCAAUUAAAUAUUAUUAGUUAAAUAAUUAAUAGAGAUUAUUUUUAGUUGAUUUUUAAUUUUAAGGGGUGAAAUAUAAAAAUUAAUUUUAAGUUAAAAAUAAGGUUAUGAAGUUAUUAAAUUUCUUUUUAAACUAGGAUUAGAUACCCUAUUAUUUGAAAUGUAAAUUAUUUUACUUGAUUAGUAUUAGUUAUGUUCUUGAAAAUUAAAGAUUUUGGCGGUAUUUUAGUCUAAUCAGAGGAACCUGUUCUAUAAUUGAUAGUCCACGAUUUACUUUACUUGAUCUAGAAAUUUGUAUAUCGUCGUAGUUUGAAUAUUUUAUAAGAAUUUUAAUAUUCAGUUUUUUAUAUAAAAAUAUAAAUCAGAUCAAGGUGCAGUUUAUGAUAAAGAAGAAAUGGGUUACAAUAAAAUUAUUUUUGGUUUAUUAAAUGAAAAAUUGAUAUUAAAUUGGAUUUGAAAGUAAUAUUUUUAAAUUUAUAAAUAUGAUUUUGGCUCUAAAAUAUGCACAUAUCGCCCGUCGCUUUCAUUUUAGUUGAGAUAAGUCGUAACAAAGUGGGUGUACUGGAAAGUGUACCUAGCAAGAC